GACGAACGCUGGCGGCGUGCUUAACACAUGCAAGUCGAGCGGAAAGGCGCGAGGUUGCUGCCGUAGUCGAUUGGGGAACGGGGGAGUGACACGCGGGGAAUCUGCACUGCACUGUGGGAGAGGCCUGGGGAACUGGGGCUAAUACAGGAUAUGAUCUUUCUCCUUGUGGGGUUUGGUGGAAAGUUUUUCGGUGUAGGAUGCGCCCGCGGCGUAUCAGCUUGUUGGUGGGGUGAUGGCCUGCCAAGGCGACGACGGGUAGCCGGCCUGAGAGGGUGAUCGGCCACAUUGGGACUGAGAUACGGCCCAGACUCCUACGGGAGGCAGCAGUGGGGAAUAUUGCACAAUGGGCGGAAGCCUGAUGCAGCGACGCCGCGUGAGGGAUGACGGCCUUCGGGUUGUAAACCUCUUUCAGCAGGGACGAAGCGUAAGUGACGGUACCUGCAGAAGAAGCACCGGCUAACUAUGUG
rnacentral:rRNA from 1 species